AUUGAACGCUGGCGGCAUGCUUUACACAUGCAAGUCGAACGGUAACAGGCCGCAAGGUGCUGACGAGUGGCGAACGGGUGAGUAAUGCAUCGGAACGUGCCCAGUCGUGGGGGAUAACGCAGCGAAAGCUUCGCUAAUACCGCAUACGAUCUAUGGAUGAAAGCGGGGGACCGAAAGGCCCCGCGCGAUGGAGCGGCCGAUGUCAGAUUAGGUAGUUGGUGAGGUAAAGGCUCACCAAGCCAACGAUCUGUAGCUGGUCUGAGAGGACGACCAGCCACACUGGGACUGAGACACGGCCCAGACUCCUACGGGAGGCAGCAGUGGGGAAUUUUGGACAAUGGGCGCAAGCCUGAUCCAGCAAUGCCGCGUGCAGGAAGAAGGCCUUCGGGUUGUAAACUGCUUUUGUACGGAACGAAACGGUCCGGGUUAAUACCCUGGGCUAAUGACGGUACCGUAAGAAUAAGCACCGGCUAACUACGUGCCAGCAGCCGCGGUAAAAC
rnacentral:rRNA from 1 species